AGAAAUCGUUAAGGGCGUAUGGCGGAUGCCUAGGCUUUCAGAGGCGAAGAAGGACGUGGUAAGCUGCGAAAAGCUGCGGGGAUCGGCACACACGAAUUGAUCCGCAGAUGUCCGAAUGGGGCAACCCGGCUGGUUGAAGACCAGUCACCUCGUAAGAGGAGCAAACCCGGAGAACUGAAACAUCUAAGUACCCGGAGGAAAAGAAAUCGAAGAGAUUCCGUAAGUAGUGGCGAGCGAAAGCGGAUUAGCCCAAAAGCUAAUAUAUGUUUAAUAGAAUGUUCUGGAAAGAACAGCCAUAGAGGGUGAUAGCCCCGUAUAUGAAAGGCAUAUUUGAGUGAUAAAUGAGUAGGGCGGGACACGUGAAAUCCUGUCUGAAUAUGGGGGGACCAUCCUCCAAGGCUAAAUACUCCUGAAAGACCGAUAGUGAACAAGUACUGUGAAGGAAAGGUGAAAAGCACUUCGAAUAGAAGGGUGAAAUAGAACCUGAAACCGUACGCCUACAAGCGGUCGGAGCCCACAAGUUGGGUGACGGCGUGCCUUUUGCAUAAUGAGCCUACGAGUUAAUUUUACUAGCGAGGUUAAGGACUUCAGGUCCGGAGCCGGAGCGAAAGCGAGUCUGAAUAGGGCGCAUAGUUAGUAGGAUUAGACGCGAAACCUUGUGAUCUACCCAUGGGCAGGUUGAAGCUUUGGUAACACAAAGUGGAGGACCGAACCGGUUGACGUUGAAAAGUCUUCGGAUGACUUGUGGGUAGGGGUGAAAGGCCAAUCAAACUGGGAGAUAGCUCGUACUCCCCGAAAUGCAUUUAGGUGCAGCGUUGAGACAAGUUUAUUAGAGGUAGAGCUACUGAUUGGAUGCGGGGGAGUCAAAUCCUACCAAUUCCUGACAAACUCCGAAUGCUAAUAAAUGUUUCUCAGCAGUGAGGGCGCGGGUGCUAAGGUCCGUGUCCGAGAGGGAAAGAACCCAGACCAACAGCUAAGGUCCCUAAAUAUAUGCUAAGUUGAAACAACGCGGUUGGACUGCAUUGACAGCUAGGAUGUUGGCUUGGAAGCAGCCAUUCAUUUAAAGAGUGCGUAACAGCUCACUAGUCGAGCGGUCCGGCAUGGAUAAUAAUCGGGCAUAAGCAUAUUACCGAAGCUAUGGAUUUAUAAUUUAUUAUAUCUGGUAGGGGAGCAUUCUAUUUGCGCCGAAGCAGUAUCGUGAGGUAUUGUGGAGCGGAUAGAAAAGAAAAUGUAGGCAUAAGUAACGAUAAAGCGGGCGAGAAACCCGCUCACCGAAAGACUAAGGAUUCCUCAGCCAUGCUAAUCAGCUGAGGGUUAGUCGGGACCUAACGCGAACCCGAAAGGGGUAGUGGAUGGACAUAGGGUUAAUAUUCCCUAACUUGCUCACACUAAAAAGGGGACGGAGUGCCGUACUUACUGGAGACUGACGGAAUAGUCAAGACCUAGCCUUCGGGCGAAGUUGCUGUAAGGAAAGUGCUUCCAAGAAAAGCCGAAGUGAAGCAACCCGUACCAUAAACCGACACAGGUAGUCGAGGAGAGAAUCCUAAGGUGCUAGAGUGAAUCAUGGUUAAGGAACUAGGCAAAAUAGUCUCGUAACUUCGGAAGAAGAGACGCCAGCAGCAAUGCUGGCCGCAGUAAAGAGGCCCAGGCGACUGUUUAUCAAAAACACAGGACUCUGCUAAAUCGAAAGAUGCUGUAUAGGGUCUGACACCUGCCCGGUGCUGGAAGGUUAAGGAAGGGCGUUAGGGUAACCGAAGCGUUUGACUGAAGCCCCAGUAAACGGCGGCCGUAACUAUAACGGUCCUAAGGUAGCGAAAUUCCUUGUCGGGUAAGUUCCGACCUGCACGAAUGGUG
rnacentral:rRNA from 1 species